rnacentral:lncRNA from 1 species
CUCUACGCAAGUAGGAUUCUAAGACAUUUCAAAAAUCAAGAGCUGGGUGCUCAACUAGGAAAGAAUCCUGGCUACUGAUGGAAUUGGCUGGGGGCAAAAGGAACAUGGAAGAGGGGGUGCAACAGCAGUAUCAUUUGCUGGGAGAAGGUCGGAUACCUACGGGUUUUGAGGAAGGUGGACCCUAAACCCUCUUCUUUGGGAAGUGGCAAACAAGCAGAAGAGACAAGGUCCCAGAAGAACCUUUAUCAAGACAGCACCCAGAACUCUAACCAAGGAGUUCAAAGCUGAGAGCAAGACCUUGACCAUGGCAACUUUAUCCAGGCAGUGCCACCAUGUGAUGCCACCUGAGGUGCCCGAGUGACAACCCCUCACCAUGGCCUCCCCCAGUAGCAACAAGUAUUAUUAAGGGUCUUGUAGGUGUGAUUUUCGCUCUGAAAAUGUGCCAGUUAUUAUCAUCUCUGGGCUUCACUUUUCUCGGAUGUAGAAUAAUGGGUUGGCCUCGAUGUUCUCUGAGAACGUUCAAUCUCUGUGAGACUCUAUUGAAAAUAUCAUUGACUCUCUUUUCUCUCUCUUUUCUUUUUCUUGUUUUCUUUUAAACAUCGAAAAAGGGCAGUGUCCUGUAAAACUUAAAUCUUGUGGCUUGUUCUUGAGUUUGACACACUAAACAAAUGAACUAUUUUCAACUGAUUAAUCAUGCCCCUCAGUUCUCAUGGGAAUAUGAGUUGGUUAUGCAUGAGAAAGUCUGCUGAUUUUGACGUGAGGAUGUCUUUCAGACAGGUAAGUCACCUGUGAUGAAGUGAUCCAUUGAAGAAAGCCUAUUUUCUUGCUGCAUAAAUACAGGCCUGAACUACGUGUGAGCUGUCAUACACAUACCCCCUGGAUGCAAUUCCCGAGAAGUGACAGGCCGCCAUCAUUCAUGCUAAUGUCUAUUUGUGCAACAAUGUUGUUUGAAAUAAUCGACCAAUUCAUCAAAGGGAACAGCCGACUUUGGUGGGGGAGGGGGGCAGAGGGUGCUUUUUCAGUCCUAAUGAAAGAAACGACAUUCCUGUUUACCAUUUGUCAGCUUUAAAUAGUCAAUAAAUGUUUGCAAUGAUUUCCAAAUUUUGAGAUGUGAUUCGCUUGUAAGGAUAUGAAAUUUUUAAGAUUUAUAGAGAGGGUGUUUCUUCCGUAAACAUUCAGCUUUGAUAAUUAUCAGGAGAACUAUUCAUUUUGUCUCAGAAGUUAAAUGCAUGAUAAAUGGAAUGCCUCUUAUUGGUUGCAAUUUUCUAAAUGUAAAGAAUGCCUAUUUCUUUGAUAAUCAACACAAAUACGUUAAUAAUAAUUAUAAAGCUUUUCAGUGCUAUAGGUUGAUGAUAAGCCUGAAAGUAUAGAAUAGUAUAAUCUCUAUAUUAAAUUGUUUUCAUUUUUGAAGCAGAUGCAACAAAAAUCAGAAUUUUCUUAGAAUUUCCAGGGACCCUACCCAGAUAUUCCUGACUGAUAACAGCUAAUAGGGUCAACUACGCCCUCCUACCGUGGGCUCCAUGUCUC